GAUGAACGCUAGCGGCAGGCUUAAUACAUGCAAGUCGAGGGGUAGCAAGAUUGUAGCAAUACAAUUGUUGACGACCGGCAAACGGGUGCGGAACACGUACACAACCUUCCUACAAGUGGGGAAUAGCCCAGAGAAAUUUGGAUUAAUACCCCGUAACAUAGCGAUGUGGCAUCACAUGGCUAUUAUAGCUUCGGCGCUUGUUGAUGGGUGUGCGGCUGAUUAGAUAGUUGGCGGGGUAACGGCCCACCAAGUCUACGAUCAGUAGCUGAUGUGAGAGCAUGAUCAGCCACACGGGCACUGAGACACGGGCCCGACUCCUACGGGAGGCAGCAGUAAGGAAUAUUGGACAAUGGACGCAAGUCUGAUCCAGCCAUGCCGCGUGAAGGAUUAAGGUCCUCUGGAUUGUAAACUUCUUUUAUAAGGGACGAAAAAAGGUCUUUCUAGAUCGUCUGACGGUACCUUAUGAAUAAGCACCGGCUAACUCCGUGCCAGCCGCCGCUGUAAUAC
rnacentral:rRNA from 1 species